CUUUGUGGAAACACCGGUUCUAGUAUAACUACGGAAGUUAAGCAAUGUAGAACCUGGCUAGUUCCUAGAUAGGUGACCACUUGGGAAUACCAGGUGCUGUAAG